UUGGAUCGAUUUUAAUUUAGGUAUUUGGGUUACAUUAGGUUUUGAUUUGAUUUUUUGAAAUUUGGGGUUAUAUAUGAUUUAGGUUUGGAGAGGGCAAAGACAGAGAAAUAAGAAAUAAGAGAGAACGUGGGUUCGUUAUUCAGAAAGAGCACUGUGGGUUCGUUAUUCAGAAAGAGCACUGGUAACCAGAGAAAUCAAACUUCCUAUCAGAACGCCAGAAACCUUUAUCGCUUUAACUUAGCCUCAUUUGAUCAAAUUCUUUAGACGAAGUAUUAAGAUAAAGAACAUGAAACCAACUACAACCAUGAUUCUCUACCAAAUUGCUUCCAAGGAUAUUCUCAGCAUUCUCUUUUAGCUGGGAUUUUUUUUCACCUUAAUUGCUAGAAAUAUUUUGUAUUCAUCACAAGGGAUGUUACCAUUAACAUUUUUUUAUUUGGGAAAAGGUUACCAUUCAUUUUAGUUGCUUAUGAUAUUCUUAAAAGAAAUCUAUUUUUAAGAAUCAUAUUGUGAUGGAAAUUAUAUGUGUUAUUAUA